CCUACGGGAGGCUGCAGUGAGGAAUCUUGGUCAAUGGGCGCGAGCCUGAACCAGCCACGUAGCGUGAAUGAUGACUGCCCUACGGGUUGUAAACUUCUUUUAUAGAGGAAUACAGUGAGGCACGUGUGCCUUUUUGUAUUUACUUUAUGAAUAAGGAUCGGCUCACUCCGUGCCAGCAGCCGCGGUAAUACGGAGGAUCCGAGCGUUUUCCGGAUUUAUUGGUGUUAAAGGGAGCGUAGAUGGGUUUUUAAGUCAGUUGUGAAAGUUUGCGGCUCAACCGUAAAAGUGCAAUUGAUACUGGCAGUCUUGAGUACAGUUGAGGUAGGCGGAAUUCGUGGUGUAGCGGUGAAAUGCUUAGAUAUCACGAAGAACUCCGAUUGCGAAGGCAGCUUACUAAACUGCCACUGACAUUGAUGCUCGAAAGUGUGGGUAUCAAACAGGAUUAGAUACCCUGGUAGUC
rnacentral:rRNA from 1 species